AGCUUGCUCCUUUGACGUUAGCGGCGGACGGGUGAGUAACACGUGGGUAACCUACCUAUAAGACUGGGAUAACUUCGGGAAACCGGAGCUAAUACCGGAUAAUAUUUCGAACCGCAUGGUUCGAUAGUGAAAGAUGGUUUUGCUAUCACUUAUAGAUGGACCCGCGCCGUAUUAGCUAGUUGGUAAGGUAACGGCUUACCAAGGCGACGAUACGUAGCCGACCUGAGAGGGUGAUCGGCCACACUGGAACUGAGACACGGUCCAGACUCCUACGGGAGGCAGCAGUAGGGAAUCUUCCGCAAUGGGCGAAAGCCUGACGGAGCAACGCCGCGUGAGUGAUGAAGGUCUUCGGAUCGUAAAACUCUGUUAUUAGGGAAGAACAUACGUGUAAGUAACUAUGCACGUCUUGACGGUACCUAAUCAGAAAGCCACGGCUAACUACGUGCCAGCAGCCGCGGUAAUACGUAGGUGGCAAGCGUUAUCCGGAAUUAUUGGGCGUAAAGCGCGCGUAGGCGGUUUUUUAAGUCUGAUGUGAAAGCCCACGGCUCAACCGUGGAGGGUCAUUGGAAACUGGAAAACUUGAGUGCAGAAGAGGAAAGUGGAAUUCCAUGUGUAGCGGUGAAAUGCGCAGAGAUAUGGAGGAACACCAGUGGCGAAAGCGACUUUCUGGUCUGUAACUGACGCUGAUGUGCGAAAGCGUGGGGAUCAAACAGGAUUAAAUACCCUGGUAGUCCACGCCGUAGACGAUGAGUGCU
rnacentral:rRNA from 1 species